rnacentral:rRNA from 1 species
UACCAGCACCCCGAGUGGUCGGGACGUUUAUUGGGCCUAAAGCAUCCGUAGCCGGUUCUACAAGUCUUCCGUUAAAUCCAACUGCUUAACAGGUGGGCUGCGGAAGAUACUAUAGAGCUAGGAGGCGGGAGAGGCAAGCGGUACUCGAUGGGUAGGGGUAAAAAUCCGUUGAUCCAUUGAAGCCACCAGUGGCGAAGGCGGCUUGACCAGAACGCGCUCGACGGUGAGGGAAUGAAAGCUGGGGGAGCAAACCGG